UGUAAACCUAACCGCCAUAACCUCAACGAUUGAAAACCUUGCCGAUUCGACUCGAGUACUGUGAAAUUUAAGGCCGAGCUAAACCUUAACCAUCACAGACGCAACCAUCGGAAAACUUGCUGGCUCAACUCGAGCACUGUUAAAUUUAAGGCUGAAUUAACCCACACCCUAACCUUAGCCAUCACAGAUGCAGCUAUCGGAAAACUUGCUGGCUCAACUCAAGUACUGCUAAUUUUAAGGCUGAAUUAUAACACACCUUAAACUUAACCAUCACAGACCCAGUGAUUGCAGUCUAACGAUGACACUUACCGUCUUUGGGACAAGGCAGUCUGGCUGAAACAGGACUUCAUGGCGGAACGCGAUGCUGGGUCGGGAUCGUCGGACUCUGAAUUUUGAGCUGUGGUCUGACCCAGUGAUUGCAGUCUAACGAUGACACUUACCGUCUUUGGGACAAGGCAGUCUGGCUGAAACAGGACUUCAUGGCGGAACGCGAUGCUGGGUCGGGAUCGUCGGACUCUGAAUUUUGAGCUGUGGUCUGACCCAGUGAUUGCAGUCUAACGAUGACACUUACCGUCUUUGGGACAAGGCAGUCUGGCUGAAACAGGACUUCAUGGCGGAACGCGAUGCUGGGUCGGGAUCGUCGGACUCUGAAUUUUGAGCUGUGGUCUGACCCAGUGAUUGCAGUCUAACGAUGACACUUACCGUCUUUGGGACAAGGCAGUCUGGCUGAAACAGGACUUCAUGGCGGAACGCGAUGCUGGGUCGGGAUCGUCGGACUCUGAAUUUUGAGCUGUGGUCUGGUGAGUACUGCUAAAUUUAAGGCUGAACCAAACCACACCCUAAACUUAACCGUCACAGACCCAGCGGUUUAAAAACCUAGCCGGUUUAAUUCUAACACAGCUAAAUUUAAGGCUGAACUAAAGCACACCCUAAACUUAACAGUCACAGACCCAGCGGUUUAAAAACCUAGCCGGUUUAAUUCUAAUACAGCUAAAUUUAAGGCUGAACUAAAACACACCCUAAACUUAACCAUCAUAGACCCAGUGAUUAUAGUCUAACGAUGACACUUACCGUCUUUGGGACAAGGCAGUCUGGCUGAAACAGGACUUCAUGGCGGAACGCGAUGCGGGGUCCGGAUCGUCGGACUCUGAAUUUCGAGCUGUGGUCUGGUGAGUACCGCUUCAUUUAAGGCUGAACCAAACCACACCCUAAACUUAACCGUCACAGACCCAGCGGUUUAAAAACCUAGCCGGUUUAAUUCUAACACAGCUAAAUUUAAGGCUGAACUAAAACACACCCUAAACUUAACCGUCACAGACCCAGCGGUUUAAAAACCUAGCCGGUUUAAUUCUAACACAGCUAAAUUUAAGGCUGAACUAAAACACACCCUAAACUUAACCAUCAUAGACCCAGUGAUUAUAGUCUAACGAUGACACUUACCGUCCUUGGGGACAAGGCAGUCUGGCUGAAACAGGACUUCAUGGCGGAACGCGAUGCUGGGUCGCGAUCGUCGGACUCUGAAUUCCGAGCUGUGGUCUGGUGAGUACUGCUAAAUUUAAGGCUGAACCAAACCACACUCUAACUUAAUCGUCACAGACCCAGCGGUUUAAAAACCUAGCCGGUUGAACUCAAAACACUGCUAAAUUUAAGGCUUAACUAAACCACACACUGUAUCUAGCCAUCACUGACCCAGCGUUUAAAAAAAAAAAAAAAAAAAAAAAAAAAAAAAAAAAAAAAAAAAAAAAAAAAAAAAAAAACAAAA